GAUAGGACGCUGUCGCCUGCGUGAUUGGACACUGACACAGGGUCAACUAGCCUUGGUCAAGCGGUUCUUCGCAUGCGGAACCGGCGACGGUCCGAGCCACGAGGGGGGAGGCUCGGACCGUCCUGC
rnacentral:ncRNA from 1 species